rnacentral:rRNA from 1 species
AUUGAACGCUGGCGGCAUGCUUUACACAUGCAAGUCGAACGGCAGCGCGGGCUUCGGCCUGGCGGCGAGUGGCGAACGGGUGAGUAAUACAUCGGAACGUGCCCAGUAGUGGGGGAUAGCUCGGCGAAAGCCGGAUUAAUACCGCAUACGACCUGAGGGUGAAAGCGGGGGAUCUUCGGACCUCGCGCUAUUGGAGCGGCCGAUGGCAGAUUAGCUAGUUGGUGGGGUAAAGGCCUACCAAGGCGACGAUCUGUAGCUGGUCUGAGAGGACGACCAGCCACACUGGGACUGAGACACGACCCAGACUCCUACGGGAGGCAGCAGUGGGGAAUUUUGGACAAUGGGCGAAAGCCUGAUCCAGCAAUGCCGCGUGUGUGAUGAAGGCCUUCGGGUUGUAAAGCACUUUUGGCGGGAACGAAAAGGACUGUGCCAAUACCACGGUUCGAUGACGGUACCCGCAGAAUAAGCACCGGCUAACUACGUG